UAUACCUCACCAACCGUUCAUUUUCUCCCCUUUUAUCUCCCCCUUUAGCUCCACCCCCUCCCCAAACCUUUCACUUUAUCACCUUAUUCCCUCAGUUCUAUAAAAACUGAAGCUGAUAAAGUUGAUUGUUGAAAUUAUAAAUAGUGCACAACAACUGCACAACUUAUUGAAAAGUAAUUAAUAUUAGACCCUAGCUUUCCCUUUUCUACCUUUUAAUCCUUGUCUCUCUUAUUUAGGUUUACUCCGGGUGCUCCGGUUCCCCUAACACGAAUUCUUAAUUCGACUAUAAAAAAAAAUCCAAUUUGAAAAAGAAUAAAUAAAGUAAUUGACUUGAACCAGAAAAUGACAUGGAAAAAGUGAUUAUUUGCAAGUUAUCUUAGGUUGACUGUUUUUUUCAGAGUUGAUCUAUGCCACCCACCAUUCUGAUGUAGGCUACUACACAAUGUCUUCUGUUUCUGUCAAAAGAAAUCAAAACAUUUUAACCCUAACAAUAUACUGUCUCCCAAUUUGGUGUCUUACUACAAUUUAACUUUUGUAAUGGAACUUUUAAUCUUUUCCUGUAUAUUAUAUUAAUUGAAAUGUCUUUGUUGCCAUUUAACAGGGGAUCCAGCCAGAGUCAGUGGAUGAGAUGGUGGUUCGGAAACCAAAAUUGAAGUUGGUGUCAAAUCAGGUGUAAAAUCCACCUUGUAUGCAGCAUAUUCAGCUAGACAGGCUUGUCACCUUUGAUGUCCAGGGGGCCUUGGUAGUUCGUCAACAGGCAGCAAACUGCCCAUAGUUGGUUGAUGGAGCCGGCCAAGGAGAGAGGAACAACCCCAUCCCAGAUAUGACACAGUGUGGAUUAUUGGUGACUGGUCCGUCGAGGUGCC